GACGAACGCUGGCGGCGGGCUUAACACAUGCAAGUCGAACGGAAAGGCCCUGCUUGUGUGGGGUGCUCGAGUGGCGAACGGGGGAGGAACACGAGAGUAACCUGCCCUUGAUUUUGGGGUAACUUAAGGAAAGGGGGGUUAAUACAGGACAGGAGACCCUGCAGCAGGGUGGGGGUGGGAAAGUUUCGGCGGUCGGGGCUGGAUUCGCGGCUUAUCAGCUUGCUGGUGGGGUAGGGGCUUACCAAGUCUUGGACGGGUAGCCGGCCUGGGAGGGUGGCCGGCCACCUUGGGCCUGAGGUACGGCCCAGUGUCCUACGGUAGGCAGCAGUGGGGAAUAUUGCACAGUGGUCCGGCGCCUGAUGCGGCAACGCCGCGUGCGUGAUGACGGCCUUCGGGUUGUAAACCGCUUUCGCCUGUGACGAAGCGUGUGUGACGGUAAUGGGUAAAGAAGCACCGGCUAACUACGUG
rnacentral:rRNA from 1 species